UGCGGAGGAUCAUUAUUGAAAUAAACCUGAUGGGUUGUUGCUGGUUCUCUAGGGAGCAUGUGCACGCCUUGUCAUCUUUAUAUCUCCACCUGUGCACCUUUUGUAGACCUUCUCGGUCUAUGUUGCUCCAUUUACCCCAAUGUAUGUCAAUAGAAUGUUGUGUUUAUAAAAUCUAUACAACUUUCAGCAACGGAUCUCUUGGCUCUCGCAUCGAUGAAGAACGCAGCGAAAUGCGAUAAGUAAUGUGAAUUGCAGAAUUCAGUGAAUCAUCGAAUCUUUGAACGCACCUUGCGCUCCUUGGUAUUCCGAGGAGCAUGCCUGUUUGAGUGUCAUUAAUAUAUAUAUCAACCCAUUCUUGUUGGAGUGGUUUGGAUGUGGGGGUUUGCUGGCCUUAUUAAAAGGUUCAGCUCCCUUGAAAUGCAUUAGCAGAACGAACCUGUUCAUUGGCGUGAUAACUAUCUAUGCUAUUGAAUGUGAGGGGAAGUUCAGCUUUCUAACUGUCCUUGGACAAUUCAUCAUUUAUGUGACCUCAAAUCAGGUAGGACUACCCGCUGAACUUAAGCAUAUC
rnacentral:sRNA from 1 species